GACGAACGCUGGCGGCGUGCUUAACACAUGCAAGUCGAGCGGUAAGGCCCUUUCGGGGGUACGACGAGCGGCGAACGGGUGAGUAACACGUGGGUGACCUGCCCUCAGCUCUGGGAUAAGCCUGGGAAACCGGGGUCUAAUACUGGAUAUGACUCCAUGACGCAUGUUGUGGGGUGGAAAGCCUUGUGCGGCUGAGGAUGGGCCCGCGGCCUAUCAGCUUGUUGGUGGGGUGAUGGCCUACCAAGGCGACGACGGGUAGCCGGCCUGAGAGGGCGACCGGCCACACUGGGACUGAGACACGGCCCAGACUCCUACGGGAGGCAGCAGUGGGGAAGUCUUGCGCAAUGGGCGAAAGCCUGACGCAGCGACGCCGCGUGAGGGAUGACGGCCU
rnacentral:rRNA from 1 species